rnacentral:rRNA from 1 species
GAUGAACGCUGGCGGCGUGCCUAAUACAUGCAAGUCGAGCGAACAGACGAGGAGCUUGCUCCUCUGACGUUAGCGGCGGACGGGUGAGUAACACGUGGAUAACCUACCUAUAAGACUGGGAUAACUUCGGGAAACCGGAGUUAAUACCGGAUAAUAUAUUGAACCGCAUGGUUCAAUAGUGAAGGACGGUUUUGCUGUCACUUAUAGAUGGAUCCGCGCCGCAUUAGCUAGUUGGUAAGGUAACGGCUUACCAAGGCAACGAUGCGUAGCCGACCUGAGAGGGUGAUCGGCCACACUGGAACUGAGACACGGUCCAGACUCCUACGGGAGGCAGCAGUAGGGAAUCUUCCGCAAUGGGCGAAAGCCUGACGGAGCAACGCCGCGUGAGUGAUGAAGGUCUUCGGAUCGUAAAACUCUGUUAUUAGGGAAGAACAAAUGUGUAAGUAACUAUGCACGUCUUGACGGUACCUAAUCAGAAAGCCACGGCUAACUACGUG